rnacentral:rRNA from 1 species
GAUGAACGCUGGCGGCGUGCCUAAUACAUGCCAGUCGAGCGAACGGACGAGAAGCUUGCUUCUCUGAUGUUAGCGGCGGACGGGUGAGUAACACGUGGAUAACCUACCUAUAAGACUGGGAUAACUUCGGGAAACCGGAGCUAAUACCGGAUGAUAUUUUGAACCGCAUGGUUCAAAAGUGAAAGACGGUCUUGCUGUCACUUAUAGAUGGAUCCGCGCUGCAUUAGCUAGUUGGUAAGGUAACGGCUUACCAAGGCAACGAUGCAUAGCCGACCUGAGAGGGUGAUCGGCCACACUGGAACUGAGACACGGUCCAGACUCCUACGGGAGGCAGCAGUAGGGAAUCUUCCGCAAUGGGCGAAAGCCUGACGGAGCAACGCCGCGUGAGUGAUGAAGGUCUUCGGAUCGUAAAACUCUGUUAUUAGGGAAGAACAUAUGUGUAAGUAACUGUGCACAUCUUGACGGUACCUAAUCAGAAAGCCACGGAUAACUACGUG